rnacentral:rRNA from 1 species
ACUAUAUCUAGCCCAAUNNNNNNNNNNAUCUAAAUUACCAAAACAGUCUAAAACAAAACAUUUACCCCAAUUAAAGUAUAGGAGAUAGAAAUUUUAAAUAUGGCGCUAUAGAGAAAGUACCGUAAGGGAAUGAUGAAAGAAAAAAGAAUUAAAGUACAAAAAAGCAAAGAUUAACCCUUGUACCUUUUGCAUAAUGAAUUAACGAGCAAAAAACUUAACAAAACGAAUUUUAGCUAAGUAACCCGAAACCAGACGAGCUACUCAUGGGCAGUUUAUCAGAACCAACUCAUCUAUGUGGCAAAAUAGUGAGAAGACCCAUAAGUAGAGGUGACAUGCCUAACGAGCCUGGUNNNNNNNNNNNNNNNNNNNNNNNNNNNNNNNNNNNNNNNNNNAGAUACCAAAAAUAUAAAUAAAUUUUACUGUAUUUUUAAAAGUUAGUCUAAAAAGGUUCAGCCUUUUAGAAAUGGAUACAACCUUCACUAGAGAGUAAGACUUUACAACACCAUAGUAGGCCUAAAAGCAGCCAUCAAUUAAGAAAGCGUUAAAGCUCAACAAUAAAAAUAAAAUUAAUCCCAACAAUAGUACAACUAACUCCUAGACCUAAUACUGGACCACUCUAUUAUUAAAUAGAAGCAAUAAUGUUAAUAUGAGUAACAAGAAAUAUUUUCUCCCUGCACAAGUUUAAGUCAGUAUCUGAUAAUAUUCUGACUGUUAACAGUAAAUAAAAACAACCUAACGAUAAAUAAUUUAUUAAUUAUACUGUUAACCCAACACAGGAGUGCACCCAGGAAAGAUUAAAAGAAGUAAAAGGAACUCGGCAAACACAAACCCCGCCUGUUUACCAAAAACAUCACCUCCAGCAUUUCCAGUAUUGGAGGCACUGCCUGCCCAGUGACUAAACGUUAAACGGCCGCGGUAUUCUGACCGUGCAAAGGUAGCAUAAUCAUUUGUUCUCUAAAUAAGGACUUGUAUGAACGGCCACACGAGGGUUUUACUGUCUCUUACUUCCAAUCAGUGAAAUUGACCUCCCCGUGAAGAGGCGGGAAUGAAUUAACAAGACGAGAAGACCCUAUGGAGCUUUAACUAACUAGUCCAAAAGAAAUAAAUUUAACCACCAAGGGAUAACAACAUCCUUUAUGGACUAGCAGUUUUGGUUGGGGUGACCUCGGAGAACAAGAGAUCCUCCGAGCGAUUUUAAAGACUAGACUUACAAGUCAAAUCAAAUUAUCGCUUAUUGAUCCAAAAAACUUGAUCAACGGAACAAGUUACCCUAGGGAUAACAGCGCAAUCCUAUUCAAGAGUCCAUAUCGACAAUAGGGUUUACGACCUCGAUGUUGGAUCAGGACAUCCUGAUGGUGCAACCGCUAUCAAAGGUUCGUUUGUUCAACGAUUAAAGUCCUACGUGAUCUGAGUUCAGACCGGAGCAAUCCAGGUCGGUUUCUAUCUGUUAUGUAUUUCUCCCAGUACGAAAGGACAAGAGAAAUAAGGCCAACUUCAACAAAGCGCCUUAAACCAAUUAAUGACCCUAUCUCAAUUAAUUUUACAAACAAAACCUGCCCUAGAAAAGGGCCUA